GUCUACAGCCAUGCCACCCUGAACAAGCCCGUCUGAUCCGAUCCCGUCUGAUCUCGGAAGCUAAGCAGGGUCGGGCCUGCUUAGUACUCGCAUGGGAGACCACCUAGGAAGACCAGGUGCUAUAGGCA
rnacentral:rRNA from 1 species